rnacentral:tRNA from 1 species
GCCUGGGUGGCUCAGUCAGUUGAGUGUCUGACUUCGGCUUAGGUCAUGAUCUCAUGGUUUGUGGGUUCGAGCCCCACUUCGGGUU